rnacentral:lncRNA from 1 species
CAUACCCUCCCAUAUUACAACACAGCAGAGAAGCAGAAAGGGAACUGGCCGCAUGCAGAAGUGGCCAAGUGUAUGGGGUGGAUUCUGAGGCCCCCAUAACCUACUCAUCUUCCAUCAGGCCCCACCUCUUAAGGUUUCCACUGCCUCUUAAUUAUGUCACACUGGGGACUAAGCCACCAGCACAUGAACCUUUGGAGGACAUCCCAACCACAGUAGCCAUCUUCUAAGAAGUGAGGAUUUGGAGCCACUUUUCUGAAUUCGCUUUUGCAAGGGUCCUGUGGUUGGUAUACUAAAUAUCGAAACUCACCUUUUCCCCACUACAGCUGUUGCUGAGAAAUUCCUGCCAAAAGACAGACUAUAUUUGCUUCCCAGAUGUGCCCAACACCAUGCAUUCUACCAGAUAUGAUAAUUGAUGCCCAGGGAAAAAGAACAAGCUUUAGAGGGAAGACCAACAAACCAGAUGAUAACUUGUAGGAAACCACAAGAUAAAGAAGAAGAAAACUGGUGCAGUUUGGGUGUAAUGCUGACCCCAGAUCUCCCACUGAGCAGCAAUGAGAGAAAAUCCAGAGCCAGGCCCCUGCCUAAAGCCUAUGUGUGGAACUUCUUUCACCGCAGAGCAAAGCUACAGGAAGAAGCACACGAUGGAGCAAAGAAGCUGAAGGAUUGGCUUUGGGGACUGACAGGGGAAAAAAUCUGGUUCCACACCCUGAGCCAAUUAUGUAGACAUUGAAUUUAGUGUCCUUGUGUAUAAAUGAGGGCAAUAAAUAAAACAGUAAAAAAUAAAUAACUAAAGCAGUAGUCCCCACUUAAAAGUAGAGGAUAUGUUCAAAGAUCCCAGUGGAUGCCUAAAACCAUAGACCCAAACCCUAUAUAUGCAUUUUUUUCUCAUAUGCCCUGCAGUAUCACCACACAGUACCAGAGUUAAUCUGUCCUAGUUUUAUGCCAUAAUAACUUCUCUGCAUCACUACUUUAGUGUUUGGGGACCAUUAUUAAGUAAAAGAGGGUUAUUUGAACAUAAGCAUUGAGGUAGAGCAAAAGUGCAUCUGAUAGUCAAGAAAGCUACUAAGUGACUAAUGGGCUGGUAGCACAUACAGUCUAUUCACAUCCUGGGCAGCACAGGACAGCAUGGGAUUUCAUCAUGCUACCUGGAAUACUUAAAUCUUAUGAAUUAUUUCUGGGAUUUUCUUUUUCUUUUUUGUUUUUGUUUUGUUUUGAGACAGG